GUGCUGGCUUUGGCGGCACACAUACUGAAAUUGGAACAAUAUGGAGAAGACGAGCGUGGCCCCUGCACAAGGAUGCCAUGCACAUUCUCGAAACGUUCCUUACUGAA
ensembl:snRNA U6 U6 spliceosomal RNA